UGCGUAGGUUGUUUGAUAAGUUAUCUGUAAAAUCCCCGGGCUUAACCUGGGCAGGUCAGAUAAGACUGUUGGACUUGAGUACAGGAGAGGGCAGUGGAAUUUUCGGUGUAGCGGUGAAAUGCGUAGAGAUCGGAAGGAACACCAGUGGCGAAGGCGGCUGCCUGGCCUGAUACUGACACUGAGGCACGAAAGCGUGGGGAGCAAACAG
rnacentral:rRNA from 1 species